rnacentral:tRNA from 1 species
GGGGUUGUAGCUCAGCGGUAGAGCGCUCUCACACGUGAGAGGCCCUGGGUUCAAUCCUCAGCACCACA